GGAAAUGAGGAGAGAGGGGGAGAGGUGAUGAUGAAUUUCACCAUGGAUCGAUAAAGCUGAUGGAUAUCUUCGGGUGUCAGCGGCACAGUACAAGAUUGGAAAAUAAUCGUGUGGACAGAGACAAGACCAUAGGUAGACACGAAACUUAAAAUCAGACAUCCAUUCGACCAAUAGUUGACUUUGGAGAGGCAUGAGAAAAGACAAGAGAUAUGCAGCUGUAGCAUCGAGAUAAUUACUUAUAACAAGUUAUAUAUGUAUAUAUAUAUAUAGAGAGAGAGAGAGAUGACGACAAGUGAAGUAAGGUGCGCGCCGCCCUCAAGUUUAGGUGUGGCAGUGGACGUAAAGCCCCAAAUAUACACAGAUAUUGAAUAUGGCGUGACCAAUUGGUAUUCCACCUGCUGCUCACUGUAAUGGGACCACACCAUCACACACCAGAACCCCUCUCUCUCCUCUUCUUUUUCUUUUAUUGUAUUCAGUAAAUUGUGAAAAAAAAAUCAUGACUUUGGUUGAAUCCUUGUCCAUUCUGUAAUUUUAAUUUUUUUAAAAAUUUAUUUAUACUUA